UGUAAAAUGGCGGAAGUUUAUUAAGCGGUAAAUUGUAAAUUUAUUUAGGGAUGUUUCCUUUUAUAG
rnacentral:tRNA from 1 species